AUUGCCCACGGGAGGCAGCAGUGGGGAAUAUUGCGCAAUGGGGGAAACCCUGAUGCAGCGACGCCGCGUGAGUGAAGAAGUAUCUCGGUACGUAAAGCUCUAUCAGCAGGGAAGAAAAAAAGUCUUUGGCUUUGGACGGUACCUGACUAAGAAGCCCCGGCUAACUACGUGCUAGCAGCCGCGGGAAUACGUAGGGGGCAAGCGUUAUCCGGAUUUACUGGGUGUAAAGGGAGCGUAGACGGCAGCGCAAGUCUGGAGUGAAAUGCCGGGGCUCAACCCCAGACCUGCUUUGGAAACUGUGCAGC
rnacentral:rRNA from 1 species